rnacentral:rRNA from 1 species
UACGGGGGGGGCAAGCGUUGUUCGGAAUUACUGGGCGUAAAGGGCUCGUAGGCGGCCAACUAAGUCAUACGUGAAAUCCCUCGGCUUAACCGGGGAACUGCGUCUGAUACUGCAUGGCUUGAGAUUGGGAGAGGGAUGCGGAAUUCCAGGUGUAGCGGUGAAAUGCGUAGAUAUCUGGAGGAACACCGGUGGCGAAGGCGGCGUUCUGGACUGCAACUGACACUGAAAAACGAAAGCCAGGGGAGCAAACGGG